AAGAGACAGCAGUCGCCACGGUAAUACGAAGGGGGCUAGCGUUGUUCGGAAUUACUGGGCGUAAAGCGCACGUAGGCGGAUAUUUAAGUCAGGGGUGAAAUCCCAGAGCUCAACUCUGGAACUGCCUUUGAUACUGGGUAUCUUGAGUAUGGAAGAGGUGAGUGGAAUUCCGAGUGUAGAGGUGAAAUUCGUAGAUAUUCGGAGGAACACCAGUGGCGAAGGCGGCUCACUGGUCCAUUACUGACGCUGAGGUACGAAAGCGUGGGGAGCAAACAGGAUUAGAUACCCCAGUAGUCCCUGUCUCUUAUAU
rnacentral:rRNA from 1 species